rnacentral:rRNA from 1 species
UGGCGGACGGGUGAGUAACGCGUGGGGAACCUGCCCUGUACAGGGGGAUAACACUUAGAAAUAGGUGCUAAUACCGCAUAAGCGCACAGUAUCGCAUGAUACAGUGUGAAAAACUCCGGUGGUACAGGAUGGACCCGCGUCUGAUUAGCUGGUUGGCGGGGUAACGGCCCACCAAGGCGACGAUCAGUAGCCGGCCUGAGAGGGUGAACGGCCACAUUGGGACUGAGACACGGCCCAGACUCCUACGGAAGGCAGCAG